GUAACGCGUGGGAACGUGCCCUUCUCUGCGGAAUAGCCACUGGAAACGGUGAGUAAUACCGCAUACGCCCUUCGGGGGAAAGAUUUAUCGGAGAAGGAUCGGCCCGCGUUAGAUUAGAUAGUUGGUGGGGUAAUGGCCUACCAAGUCUACGAUCUAUAGCUGGUUUUAGAGGAUGAUCAGCAACACUGGGACUGAGACACGGCCCAGACUCCUACGGGAGGCAGCAGUGGGGAAUCUUAGACAAUGGGCGCAAGCCUGAUCUAGCCAUGCCGCGUGUGUGAUGAAGGUCUUAGGAUCGUAAAGCACUUUCGCCAGGGAUGAUAAUGACAGUACCUGGUAAAGAAACCCCGGCUAACUCCGUGCCAGCAGCCGCGGUAAUACGGAGGGGGUUAGCGUUGUUCGGAAUUACUGGGCGUAAAGCGUACGUAGGCGGAUCAGAAAGUUGGGGGUGAAAUCCCGGGGCUCAACCCCGGAACUGCCUCCAAAACUCCUGGUCUUGAGUUCGAGAGAGGUGAGUGGAAUUCCAAGUGUAGAGGUGAAAUUCGUAGAUAUUUGGAGGAACACCAGUGGCGAAGGCGGCUCACUGGCUCGAUACUGACGCUGAGGUACGAAAGUGUGGGGAGCAAACAGGAUUAGAUACCCUGGUAGUCCACACCGUAAACGAUGAAUGCCAGUCGUCGGGCAGUAUACUGUUCGGUG
rnacentral:rRNA from 1 species